ensembl:snRNA U2 U2 spliceosomal RNA
AGCACUCCUCAGUCUUUUGGUUAAGAUCAAGUGCAAUAUCUAUUCUUUGUUUAAUAUUUGAUGCAUCCUCUAUCUGAUGACAGUAUAUUAAAUGGGUUUUUGGAACUGAAAGAAGGAAAUGGAGCUUGCUCCAUCUACUCCACACAUUAACCUGGUACCGCACACCCUCCAGGAAUGGUGCAGCCCCU